ACGUGAAACCNGUUNAGGGGNUAANCCUGAGAAACCCGAAAGGUCGAAGGGAGAAAUUCAUUCGCGGUUCGCUGUGGGCGUGAGACGUUCGAGUGACGGAAAACGUUCACGUUUUCCGCGCCUUUCGUUUUUCGAUCUCGCCGCGAACGCGUGCACUUUUCUCCUGGUAGGACGUCGCGAUCCGUUGGGUGUCGGUCUACGACUCGUGGAGGAGCCCGUUCGUACGGCUUGCCGUUACGAGCGGACCCGCGUGUUCCGGCUGACUCGCUCGACGGUAUACGAAAGGUUUAAGGCCGCUCUCGAAGCGUUCGGCUCGUCGCAAGCGCGUCAGAUGUGUCGGCGAUCGGACCUAGUGCCGGUUCUGACCUCUGGCGACUGUUGGCGACGAAGUUCUCGAACAGACUUUAGACCGAUCUGCGACGCUAUAGCUUUGGGUACUUUCAGGACCCGUCUUGAAACACGGACCAAGGAGUCUAGCAUGUGCGCGAGUCAUUGGGAAUAACUAAACCUAAAGGCGCAAUGAAAGUAAAGGUCCGCCUCGCGCGGACUGAGGGAAGACGGGCGGUUCACCCUUAAAAGUGGCCGCUCCGCACUCCCGGGGCGUCUCGUUCUCAUUGCGAGAAGAGGCGCACCAAGAGCGUACACGCUGGGACCCGAAAGAUGGUGAACUAUGCCUGGUCAGGACGAAGUCAGGGGAAACCCUGAUGGAGGUCCGUAGCGAUUCUGACGUGCAAAUCGAUCGUCGGAACUGGGUAUAGGGGCGAAAGACUAAUCGAACCAUCUA
rnacentral:rRNA from 1 species